rnacentral:rRNA from 1 species
AAUCAACGCUGGCGGCGCGCUUAACACAUGCAAGUCGCACGAGAAAGGGGAGCAAUCCCUGAGUACAGUGGCGUACGGGUGAGUAACACGUGGGUAAUCUACCUCUUAGUGGGGGAUAUCUCUGGGAACCGGAGUUAAUACCGCAUAAGUUCGGAAGAAGAAAGCGAGCAAUCGCGCUGAGAGAGGAGCCCGCGGCCGAUUAGCUAGUUGGUGGGGUAAAGGCUCACCAAGGCAGAGAUCGGUAGCCGGCCUGAGAGGGCACACGGCCACACUGGCACUGAAACACGGGCCAGACUCCUACGGGAGGCAGCAGGUGGGGAAUCUUGCACAAUGGGGGAAACCCUGACGCAGCAACGCCGCGUGGAGAU